rnacentral:rRNA from 1 species
UACGGAGGGGACUAGCGUUGUUCGGAAUUACUGGGCGUAAAGCGCACGUAGGCGGAUUGUUAAGUCAGGGGUGAAAUCCUGGAGCUCAACUCCAGAACUGCCUUUGAUACUGACGAUCUCGAGUCCGGGAGAGGUGAGUGGAACUGCGAGUGUAGAGGUGAAAUUCGUAGAUAUUCGCAAGAACACCAGUGGCGAAGGCGGCUCACUGGCCCGGUACUGACGCUGAGGUGCGAAAGCGUGGGGAGCAAACAGG